UUAUACGAAACACACUCCGGAAUUUAAACAAAAUGAUAUCACCGCUAUCACACCAGCAAGUCACACAAAAGUAUAAAAUUUGUUGUUUUUUUAAAUGUGUUGCCUUUUAUUAAUAAAAAUGUCGUAUAUAUAUUUAUGUCCGAAGCCUAAAACCUCUAUUUGUUACUCAAAUAAAAACACGGAAAAAUAAAAUCGAAAAACGGAAAGGUCAUUUUAAUUAACCCUGUGCGGUGUAUCGUGAGGACCAUUUUAUACACAUGAUAUGGUGGCUGGUACAAGCCGUAUGGGUAAAUCGUGUGAAAUAUAUAUAUUUUUGAGCAAAAACAAUGGACGAUCGAUCUACGCGUAUCGAAUAUCAAUUACUCAGUCUCACGUACAUAUAAAUAUGUUUGUACGAAGAAAAAAAAUGUACGUUACAUACAGACUGAAUGUGGACACAUAUCGGGUAGGCAUUUUAUAUAUAAUUUAUAUAUUGUAAAAUGAAGUUAAAGUGAUUCAAAAUAAAAAUACGAAACCAAA